rnacentral:rRNA from 1 species
AUUAGGUAGUUGGUGAGGUAAAGGCUCACCAAGCCGACGAUCUGUAGCUGGUCUGAGAGGACGACCAGCCACACUGGGACUGAGACAGGCCCAGACUCCUACGGGAGGCAGCAGUGGGGAAUUUUGGACAAUGGGCGCAAGCCUGAUCCAGCAAUGCCGCGUGCAGGAUGAAGGCCUUCGGGUUGUAAACUGCUUUUGUACGGAACGAAACGGUGAGCUCUAAUACAGUUUGCUAAUGACGGUACCGUAAGAAUAAGCACCGGCUAACUACGUG